rnacentral:rRNA from 1 species
GUGAGGAAUUUUCCGCAAUGGGCGAAAGCCUGACGGAGCAAUGCCGCGUGAAGGAUGAAGGCCUAUGGGUUGUAAACUUCUUUUCUUAGAGAAGAAUAUUGACGGUAUCUGAGGAAUAAGCAUCGGCUAACUCUGUGCCAGCAGCCGCGGUAAGACAGAGGAUGCAAGCGUUAUCCGGAAUGAUUGGGCGUAAAGCGUCUGUAGGUGGCUUCAACAGUCUCCUGUCAAAGAUCAGGGCUUAACCCUGGGCCGGCAGGAGAAACUCUGAGGCUAGAGUUUGGUAGGGGCAGAGGGAAUUCCCGGUGGAGCGGUGAAAUACGUAGAGAUCGGGAGGAACACCAAAGGCGAAAGCACUCUGCUGGGCCACAACUGACACUGAGAGACGAAAGCGAGGGGAGCAAAAGGGAUUAGAAACCCUGGUAGUCC